rnacentral:rRNA from 1 species
UGGGGAAUUUUACGCAAUGGGGGAAACCCUGACGUAGCGACACCGCGUGAACGAAGAAGCCCCUUGGGGUGUAAAGUUCUGUCGGCUGGAACGAAAAAAAUGACGGUACCAGCAAAGGAAGCAUCGGCUAACUACGUGCCAGCAGCCGCGGUAAGACGUAGGAUGCAAGCGUUGUCCGGAUUUAUUGGGCGUAAAGAGUUCGUAGGUGGUUUGUUAAGUUUGAUGUUAAGGAUCAAGGCUCAACCUUGGGAAAGCAUUGAAUACUGGCAGACUUGAGUAUGGUAGAGGCAAGCGGAAUUCCCAGUGUAGCGGUGAAAUGCGUAGAUAUUGGGAAGAACACCGGUGGCGCAAGCGGCUUGCUGGGCCAUAACUGACACUGAGGAACGAAAGCUAGGGUAGCGAAUGGG